rnacentral:tRNA from 1 species
GGCCGACUGGCCUAAUGGUUAAGGCGUCAGUUUCCGGUUCAGCGGUUCAGGAAUGAGCUGAAGAUUCGGGGUUCGAAUCCCCGGUUGGUCG